ensembl:lincRNA
AUGCUUUAUUUAUUUGACCAGAUGAAAGAGGUUCUGAUUUGGUUGUUGACCGUAAAGACUCUCGCGAAGAGAAAUAAAACGUUAUCGACAAAAUUAAUUGAAAUGUAUAACAUUUUUUUGUCAUUGCUAUUAUUAUUAUUAUUAUUAAUAACAUUCCCCACAGAGGUUUGUAAUUUUUCCUCUUUAUACAGUAAGGAGGAAACUGUGACAAAUGAACAGCAUGAUGAGGAUCAAGCAGAUAUGUGGGGUUUGUUCCUCAAGAGACAUGUCACGACAGGGAAAAACAAAGGAUCGCCAUCAACGCAGGCCUGUGAUGGGGUUACUUCAAUGAGCAUUACCUCGGAGUCUGUGACACAAUCACCGUGCGACCGGGAGCAGAGAGAGGUUUCUGCAGGGCCCACACAGUCCACCAUCAACCCCCUUCUGGUGAAACUACCUAAAUCCAUGAUCACUGCUCACCUCCACUCAUUUGUUCCUCUUCUUACCCACCUGUGGAAUCAACUUCCACAUCCUCUUCAAUCUCAUUCUUCCCUUUUGGUCUUCAUGACAGCUGUUCACCACCAUCUCAGAUCAUCCCCAGUCCAAAACCAUGAACUUUUCUGCCCUCAACCCUAUCCCAAUCCUCCUCCUUCCAAUUUUCCAGUUUCCCUCCUUGGAGUUUCCUUCUGUACUCCAUCUUGUCCACCCCAUGCAUCCUCUAUGUCCAACUUGUCCACCCCAUGCAUGUGUGUUUUGCAUCCUGUUUUUGUCCGUUGCAUUAUGAUCCGUUCAGUGUACUAGCUCUUCCAACGAAGCUCAACGAUGUAUACUGCAAAAAAAAACAAAACAAAAAAGAAAACACAAAAGACUGUUCAAGUAUGGUUAUAUAACCUUUAUGUAAUCUUUUUUUUUGUUGAAAAUCACUUGCCAAUAACAGUAAUGGUUUCGCACCAAGAUUUUUUUUCUUCCAAAAUCAGAUCCACAUCCUCGGAGCCAAAGGAAGCAAAUCAUACUUGUGAUACAGGGAAAUUGUUUUUGCCCAGGAAGGUUCGUCAGAUUGGAGAUGGUUUAAAGCUUUGUGAACUUCAAAAUGUCAAGCUGAAUCAUUUACUCGUCUGAUGGGAAGUUACUGGGUUUAUAACAUGAAUAGUUUGUUCUCUCCAGGUUUCAUUCACUUUAUUCUUAAGUAUAAUAACCGAUUUUUCACAACAUUCCAUGGAGAAAUCAUCAUCCUGUAGUUUUCAUUUCCUGAUAGCACCAGGUUCUUUGAGCUUUC